UACGGAAGGCAGCAGUGGGGAAUAUUGGACAAUGGGCGGAAGCCUGAUCCAGCCAUGCCGCGUGUGUGAAGAAGGCCUUUUGGUUGUAAAGCACUUUAAGCGAGGAGGAGGCUCUCCUAGUUAAUACCUAGGAAGAGUGGACGUUACUCGCAGAAUAAGCACCGGCUAACUCUGUGCCAGCAGCCGCGGUAAUACAGAGGGUGCGAGCGUUAAUCGGAUUUACUGGGCGUAAAGCGUGCGUAGGCGGCUGAUUAAGUCGGAUGUGAAAUCCCUGAGCUUAACUUAGGAAUUGCAUUCGAUACUGGUCAGCUAGAGUAUGGGAGAGGAUGGUAGAAUUCCAGGUGUAGCGGUGAAAUGCGUAGAGAUCUGGAGGAAUACCGAUGGGCGAAGGGCAGCCAUCUGGGCCUAAUACUGACGCUGAGGUACGAAAGCAUGGGGAAGCAAACAGGGAUUAGAAUAACC
rnacentral:rRNA from 1 species